rnacentral:rRNA from 1 species
UACGUAGGUGGCAAGCGUUGUCCGGAAUUAUUGGGCGUAAAGCGCGCGCAGGCGGUCUCUUAAGUCUGAUGUGAAAUCCCGUGGCUUAACCACGGGCGGUCAUUGGAAACUGGGGGACUUGAGUGCAGAAGAGAAGAGCGGAAUUCCACGUGUAGCGGUGAAAUGCGUAGAGAUGUGGAGGAACACCAGUGGCGAAGGCGGCUCUCUGGACCGGAACUGACGCUGAGGCGCGAAAGCGUGGGGAGCAAACAGG